CCCUUAGAUGUUCUGGGCCGCACGCGCGCUACACUGAUGCAUUCAACGAGCCUAUCCUUCACCGACAGGUCCGGGUAAUCUUUGAAUCUGCAUCGUGACGGGGAUAGAUUAUUGCAAUUAUUAAUCUUCAACGAGGAAUGCCUAGUAGGCGCAAGUCAUCAGCUUGCGUCGAUUGCGUCCCUGCCCUUUGUACACACCGCCCGUCGCUCCUACCGAUUGGGUGUGCUGGUGAAAUGUUCGGAUCGGCCGUUUGUCGCGGUUUCCGCGUCAUGUGGCUGAGAAGUUCAUUAAACCCUCCCACCUAGAGGAAGGAGAAGUCGUAACA
rnacentral:rRNA from 1 species